rnacentral:rRNA from 1 species
GACGAACGCUGGCGGCGUGCUUAACACAUGCAAGUCGAACGGAAAGGCCCUGCUUUUGUGGGGUGCUCGAGUGGCGAACGGGUGAGUAACACGUGAGUAACCUGCCCUUGACUUUGGGAUAACUUCAGGAAACUGGGGCUAAUACCGGAUAGGAGCUCCUGCUGCAUGGUGGGGGUUGGAAAGUUUCGGCGGUUGGGGAUGGACUCGCGGCUUAUCAGCUUGUUGGUGGGGUAGUGGCUUACCAAGGCUUUGACGGGUAGCCGGCCUGAGAGGGUGACCGGCCACAUUGGGACUGAGAUACGGCCCAGACUCCUACGGGAGGCAGCAGUGGGGAAUAUUGCACAAUGGGCGGAAGCCUGAUGCAGCAACGCCGCGUGCGGGAUGACGGCCUUCGGGUUGUAAACCGCUUUCGCCUGUGACGAAGCGUGAGUGACGGUAAUGGGUAAAGAAGCACCGGCUAACUACGUGCCAGCAGCCGCGGUGAUACGUAGGUGCGAGCGUUGUCCGGAUUUAUUGGGCGUAAAGGGCUCGUAGGUGGUUGAUCGCGUCGGAAGUGUAAUCUUGGGGCUUAACCCUGAGCGUGCUUUCGAUACGGGUUGACUUGAGGAAGGUAGGGGAGAAUGGAAUUCCUGGUGGAGCGGUGGAAUGCGCAGAUAUCAGGAGGAACACCAGUGGCGAAGGCGGUUCUCUGGGCCUUUCCUGACGCUGAGGAGCGAAAGCGUGGGGAGCGAACAGGCUUAGAUACCCUGGUAGUCCACGCUGUAAACGGUGGGUACUAGGUGUGGGGUCCAUUCCACGGGUUCCGUGCCGUAGCUAACGCUUUAAGUACCCCGCCUGGGGAGUACGGCCGCAAGGCUAAAACUCAAAGGAAUUGACGGGGCCCCGCACAAGCGGCGGAGCAUGCGGAUUAAUUCGAUGCAACGCGUAGAACCUUACCUGGGUUUGACAUGGAUCGGGAGCGCUCAGAGAUGGGUGUGCCUCUUUUGGGGUCGGUUCACAGGUGGUGCAUGGCUGUCGUCAGCUCGUGUCGUGAGAUGUUGGGUUAAGUCCCGCAACGAGCGCAACCCUUGUUCACUGUUGCCAGCACGUUAUGGUGGGGACUCAGUGGAGACCGCCGGGGUCAACUCGGAGGAAGGUGGGGAUGACGUCAAGUCAUCAUGCCCCUUAUGUCCAGGGCUUCACGCAUGCUACAAUGGCUGGUACAGAGAGUGGCGAGCCUGUGAGGGUGAGCGAAUCUCGGAAAGCCGGUCUCAGUUCGGAUUGGGGUCUGCAACUCGACCUCAUGAAGUCGGAGUCGCUAGUAAUCGCAGAUCAGCAACGCUGCGGUGAAUACGUUCCCGGG